GCGAGUUUUAACUGAGCGUUCAGUUACUUGACGUAGACCCGAAACCGGGCGACCUACCCAUGAGCAGGAUGAAGCGAAAGUAAAAUUUCGUGGAGGUCCGAACCCACGAGCGUUGAAAAGCUCGGGGAUGACUUGUGGGUAGCGGUGAAAUUCCAAUCGAGCCCGGAGAUAGCUGGUUCUCCCCGAAAUAGCUUUAGGGCUAGCCUCAAGGUGAGAGAUACGGAGGUAGAGCACUGAAUGUCCUAGGGGGUAUUGCACCUACCGAAGACUAUCAAACUCCGAAUGCCGUCAUCUUAUACUUGGGAGUCAGACUGUGGGUGAUAAGAUUCAUAGUCGAAAGGGCAACAGCCCAGAUCGUCAGCUAAGGUCCCUAAAUGUAAGUUAAGUGGUAAAGGAUGUGGGAUUGCACAGACAACCAGGAUGUUGGCUUAGAAGCAGCCACUCAUUCAAAGAGUGCGUAAUAGCUCACUGGUCGAGUGAUCCUGCGCCGAAGAUUUCCGGGGCUAAAACUUACUACCGAAGCUACGGCAUCAGUAAUGAUGGGUAGGGGAGCUUCCCAUACGGGUUGAAGCAUGACCGUAAGGACAUGUGGACAGUAUGGGAGUGAGAAUGUUGGCAUGAGUAGCGAGAUGUGGGUGAGAAUCCCACAGGCCGUAAACCCAAGGUUUCCAGGGGAAGGUUCGUCCGCCCUGGGUUAGUCGGGACCUAAGCUGAGGCCGAAAGGCGUAGGUGAUGGACAACAGGUUGAUAUUCCUGUAC
rnacentral:rRNA from 1 species